UGGGGGAUAUUGCACAAUGGAGGAAACUCUGAUGCAGCAACGCCGCGUGAGGGAAGACGGUUUUCGGAUUGUAAACCUCUGUCCUUGGUGAAGAUAAUGACGGUAGCCAAGGAGGAAGCUCCGGCUAACUACGUGCCAGCAGCCGCGGUAAUACGUAGGGAGCAAGCGUUGUCCGGAUUUACUGGGUGUAAAGGGUGCGUAGGCGGCUUUACAAGUCAGGCGUGAAAUAUAUGGGCUUAACCCAUAGACUGCGUUUGAAACUGUAGAGCUUGAGUGAAGUAGAGGUAGGCGGAAUUCCCGGUGUAGCGGUGAAAUGCGUAGAGAUCGGGAGGAACACCAGUGGCGAAGGCGGCCUACUGGGCUUUAACUGACGCUGAGGCACGAAAGCAUGGGUAGCAAA
rnacentral:rRNA from 1 species